rnacentral:rRNA from 1 species
CUUACACAUGCAAGUCGAACGGCAGCACGGGUGCUUGCACCUGGUGGCGAGUGGCGAACGGGUGAGUAAUACAUCGGAACAUGUCCUGUAGUGGGGGAUAGCCCGGCGAAAGCCGGAUUAAUACCGCAUACGAUCUACGGAUGAAAGCGGGGGACCUUCGGGCCUCGCGCUAUAGGGUUGGCCGAUGGCUGAUUAGCUAGUUGGUGGGGUAAAGGCCUACCAAGGCGACGAUCAGUAGCUGGUCUGAGAGGACGACCAGCCACACUGGGACUGAGACACGGCCCCGACUCCUACGGGAGGCAGCAGUGGGGAAUUUUGGACAAUGGGCGAAAGCCUGAUCCAGCAAUGCCGCGUGUGUGAAGAAGGCCUUCGGGUUGUAAAGCACUUUUGUCCGGAAAGAAAUCCUUGGCUCUAAUACAGUCGGGGGAUGACGGUACCGGAAGAAUAAGCACCGGCUAACUACGUGCCAGCAGCCGCGGUAAUACGUAGGGUGCAAGCGUUAAUCGGAAUUACUGGGCGUAAAGCGUGCGCAGGCGGUUUGCUAAGACCGAUGUGAAAUCCCCGGGCUCAACCUGGGAACUGCAUUGGUGACUGGCAGGCUAGAGUAUGGCAGAGGGGGGUAGAAUUCCACGUGUAGCAGUGAAAUGCGUAGAGAUGUGGAGGAAUACCGAUGGCGAAGGCAGCCCCCUGGGCCAAUACUGACGCUCAUGCACGAAAGCGUGGGGAGCAAACAGGAUUAGAUACCCUGGUAGUCCACGCCCUAAACGAUGUCAACUAGUUGUUGGGGAUUCAUUUCCUUAGUAACGUAGCUAACGCGUGAAGUUGACCGCCUGGGGAGUACGGUCGCAAGAUUAAAACUCAAAGGAAUUGACGGGGACCCGCACAAGCGGUGGAUGAUGUGGAUUAAUUCGAUGCAACGCGAAAAACCUUACCUACCCUUGACAUGGUCGGAAUCCUGCUGAGAGGUGGGAGUGCUCGAAAGAGAACCGGCGCACAGGUGCUGCAUGGCUGUCGUCAGCUCGUGUCGUGAGAUGUUGGGUUAAGUCCCGCAACGAGCGCAACCCUUGUCCUUAGUUGCUACGCAAGAGCACUCUAAGGAGACUGCCGGUGACAAACCGGAGGAAGGUGGGGAUGACGUCAAGUCCUCAUGGCCCUUAUGGGUAGGGCUUCACACGUCAUACAAUGGUCGGAACAGAGGGUUGCCAACCCGCGAGGGGGAGCUAAUCCCAGAAAACCGAUCGUAGUCCGGAUUGCACUCUGCAACUCGAGUGCAUGAAGCUGGAAUCGCUAGUAAUCGCGGAUCAGCAUGCCGCGGUGAAUACGUUCCCGGGUCUUGUACACACCGCCCGUCACACCAUGGGAGUGGGUUUUACCAGAAGUGGCUAGUCUAACCGCAAGGAGGAC